UUCCUGGUAUGGCAUUCCAUCAGCCACUCUGGGGGUAGUCUGGUUCCUGCCAGUCCCACAGCUUAGAGUUCUUACUGAAGAACUCCAUUACAGUCCUUGUCACCUCCCUCAACUUCAUGGGGACAGAGAGAGGUCAGCGGAUGGGUCUGACAACACCGGUCAAGAUAUAUAAUGGAAAGCAGGGUUCUCACCUGUGUGAGAAGGGGUCCCUGGACAGGUUGAGGUGAGCCAGGUUGGAGCAGAAGCCUGACAGAUACAAACAGCUAGGGGGAGAAGGGGUCCCUGGACAGGUUGAGGUGAGCCAGGUUGGAGCGGAAGCCUGACAGAGAUACAAACAGCUAGGGGGAGAAGGGGUCCCUAGACAGGUUGAGGUGAGCCAGGUUGGAGCGGAAGCCUGACAGAGAUACAAACAGCUAGGGGGAGAAGGGGUCCCUAGACAG
rnacentral:lncRNA from 1 species